rnacentral:rRNA from 2 species
CUGGUGUCAGCCGCCGCGGUAAUACCAGCACCUCGAGUGGUCAGGACGUUUAUUGGGCCUAAAGCAUCCGUAGCCGGCUUUGCAAGUCUUCGGUUAAAUCCACCUGCUCAACAGAUGGGCUGCUGGAGAUACUACAGAGCUAGGGAGUGGGAGAGGCAGACGGUAUUCAGUGGGUAGGGGUAAAAUCCUCUGAUCCAUUGAGGACCACCAGUGGCGAAGGCGGUCUGCCAGAACACGUUCGACGGUGAGGGAUGAAAGCUGGGGGAGCAAACCGGAUUAGAUACCCGGGUAGUCCCAGCUGUAAACGAUGCAAACUCGGUGAUGCAUUGGCUUAUGGCCAAUGCAGUGCCGCAGGGAAGCCGUUAAGUUUGCCGCCUGGGAAGUACGGACGCAAGUCUGAAACUUAAAG